GUCAGGCUGCAACUCGCCUGCAUGAAGUUGGAAUUGCUAGUAAUCGCGAAUCAGAAUGUCGCGGUGAAUACGUUCCCGGGCCUUGUACACACCGCCCGUCACACCAUGAGAGUCGAUAACACCCGAAGCCUGUGAGCUAACCGCAAGGAGGCAGCAGUCGAAGGUGGGGUUGAUGAUUGGGGUGAAGUCGUAACAAGGUAAC
rnacentral:rRNA from 1 species